rfam:Cajanus cajan CcLG03_982, whole genome shotgun sequence.
AUCUUUGAUCUGGGUGAGAGAAACGCGUAUCGAUUUGGUUCAUGAUCAUGGCUCAUACUCUUCCCACCACUUACCAAUUAGAUUUGGAGAUGUUGUGUUGAGGUUUCAUCGAUACGGGUCGCUCUCACCUAGACUAAAGUUGC